UAAGUACCCAAGAUCUACCCAGCAAAUAACCGAUGUGGGACUAAACACACGCCCGCACGGGUCCUCACAAAAAUAAUGGGGCUGAUGCAAUUACAAACACCAUGCAAUGCACGGACUGCUAUGUUUGUGGGAUUGGUUGACCUCUCUAGCCCAAGUUUGAACUAAAGAGAAUCCCGACUCUUCGAGUACUAUUAAUCAUGUGCCCAUUUAUAAACAGAUUUAGAAUCCUCUUCAUUUUGGUAUUAAGUGAAGGAGGGAUAGUUGAUCAAUCAUGGUCAUCCCUCUCCAGUUCAAUGCCAAACUAGAGAGGAUCAAAAGUCUUUACAAAAUUAUAUUGCAUCCGUAGAAUGCUCUCUCGCACAUGAAGGGUAUAUAUUUUUUUUUAUUUGUGUCAUAACCAUUAAUAUAAGUUAUUUUAGUUGAAAAAUAUAUUGAAUUAGGAUUUAAUAAAAAGGAAUUUUACUCAAUUUCUGCCACUAGGGAAAACCAAUGCCACUAGAAAGGAAUUGGAAUGGGCUCGUCUUGUUUAUUAUUGCAGUUAUAUAUUCUAAUAUGAUGAAUUAUUUGUUAUAGUGGCAAACAAAAUCAUGACUUUAUAUACCAUCCAUGUAAUACAUGGGUCAAAUAGUUAUAAAGAUGUUUCUAUUAGAAAACAAUUUGACUUGGUUGAUGUCGCGCAUGCGAUGAUUGAUGAAAGAAAAAGUGGUCUCUUUUUUAUUCCUCGACAAUGAGGACUUAAAAUCUGUCAUAUGAUUUAAAUGUUUGGCUAAAACAUUAGAGAUGUGUUGAGGUAGUUUGUCCAUAAACUUUUGAAAAUUAUUUCAUGCUUCAUUCAUAUAAUAAUGAUCAUUAUCUAAAUGAGAAUAACAGUUAUCAUAUGAAUCAUACGCUUAUUAUGAUAAUUAUCAUCAUAGAAACAAUGAUAAUACCAAAUGAAGAAUGAAGAAUGAAUUGAGAAAUACCAUGAAAAAGUGAUUAAGAACUACUAGAUAAAUUCUAGGGUAUGUUGAACCUACACUCUAGAGAAAAGAAAAGAAAAAAAAGUACAUUGGAUAGCCUUAGAAGCCUUGUCCAUUUUUGUGAAUAUCCAUUGAAUGUGUAUAGAUGGUGAGAGAUCAUGAAUGGAGCCUCUUUUCCUUAUUAUAAUGUAGAUUGAUAGUUAUUUCCAUCAAUAACUAGAUCUUUUAUUUAUUGCACUUGGGUGGUUGUCGAUUGUUUUCCUAUACAGAUAACUUUUUUGUGCAACUAACUUUCUCUAGGUAGUUGACUCUAGCAAUAAACUAUCUAUGUAUUGUCUUUUGUGUAAAUAACAAGUUGCUAACCUUGAUCCAUCCAAUUGCAAAGAUAUAAUUGAUUAAUUAAAUCUUGGUCGAUAUAAUUACCGACCACUUUUUUGUAGUUGGUUGAUGAUCCAUUAAUUUUUAAAAGGUACCAAGCAAAUGAGCUUGUAUUUCAAUUUAAGUUACAUGUAGUCGGAAUUGCAUGUAGUUUAGUAGCGGAUAGGUGAUUUUAUUAUAUUUGAAAAGUUAUUGCUGAAGAUGAUAUAGUUAUACUUAUCUUUUAGUUUGAAAGGCUAGAACUAGAGGUUUUAUGUUUAAUGGAACUGCAUGGUUGCAAGAAACUACAAGAAAUGCAGGCAUCUGACGAAUUAAGACCAUGAACUUACCCUAUUUUUGGUGUGUUUUUUUUUUUGGAUAUAGUUUAUGGUUCCUACAUAUCAUUAAGCAUCAUAUAACCAUUGUGUUGGGAACCCCUAAAAUCUACAUGAAUAAUGCUUGUUUUAGCUCUUCUUAGGCACAAGCAAUGACCUAGGAAUCUCGGUCCAAGUCGCAUCUCUUAGGACUCGUUUGGUUUGUGGAAAAAAAGGAGAAAAUGUAUAGUCAACGGAAAAACAAAGAGAUACCUCUUAUUUGGUUGAAGUUUUCAAAGAAGAAAGAUAGAAAAGUAGCAUUUCUAUGAAAAUAAGGUUCUCGAAUGAGUCCUUAUUGUCUCACUAGAAAUAAUAGCAAAAAUGACCACUGCUACAUAUCAUGUGCUUAGUAUCUAGUGGUGUCUGGGCACAUUUUACCGAAUCCCAUUCUCCAACUCUUACGCAGGACGUGCAACCUAAGCACUUUAACAUUUUCUAUUAAGAAUUGAUUGAUUUUGAUUUAAAGUUGUUUCAUUUUUAAAUGAUGUACUACCAUAUUAGCAUGUGAAAAUUGUCCAACAAAAUAGUGAAGUUAUUUAUAAAAUAGUAUUUUUUUUGAGGGAGAAGGUGGGUUAUACCAUUUUACUAUAAAUACAUUUCAUUCGAGUACAAAAUAUCCUGAAAUUGAAUAGAGAUCAAAGAUAAAUUCUCCUAGAUAGUAUUCGCAAAAUAACUGGCCACAUAUGAUUCCACCUAAUCUAUAGCAUCACUCACCUCUCUAAAGAUAUGAGUCACCUCGAGACCCUCUAGAUCCCAAUGAUGCUCCAACUAUACAUUGAUAAUGGACAAAAUCUUAAUAUUCACUGCACAUAAAUUCAUACAUAGUUAGAUGCCCCUUGAUCUAUAUAAAUUUCAGAGAAAAUAAAAAAAUAACAAAAACAAGAACUAGGUAGUGGAGAGCUACAGUCAUGCUUCGGUUCACUAUAUACUAGCAAGUAAUCCCUGCAUGCAAUGUAGGAUUUAGUUAAACAAUAUGAAAAAUUAAUAGAGUGGUAAGGAUCAGCAAAAUUUAUAGUUAAACAUUGGAUGAUACAUAAAAUGCUAAUAAGUUUUUUUGAAAUGAUCGGACUCGGAGCUCACUUUCCAAGGGAGAAGACGCAAGUGAAACUUCUUCUCAUAAUUUAUAAUUUUUGCAUUAAGACUAAAGAUAAGCCCUUAAUUUUGCAUUGAAAAUGGAAAUAAUCUCCACCAAGAAUCGCAAGAAUUUAGUGAUGGUUGUAUUGUUACAACCAUAAAAAAGAUACAAUGUUCUUCUCAUAGAUCUCCCUACUUUGCUUACAAUCCUAUUUCACUCGGACCACCUAAUAUGUGUGAUAUCAUUAUCAAGCAGCUUGUGCCGGAAAAGAUCAAGCCUCUUUUUUGAAAAAAAAUAGAGGAAGGGGGUGGAGGGUGUUUAAAAAUAGUCAAACCGUCUUGGGCUCUCCAAGCACGAUAUAUUUUUAUAAAAGGAAAGGUAGAAAUCACAACAAUACAUACAUCUAUUGUAGAACUACAACUAUAUUUGAUUCUUUCUUAGAGAAAAAAGAAAUUUGUCACUAUAACAUCAAGUGGAAAUUCCAAACACAGAAUUCAAUCCAUUGAAAAGAGGAAUCUCAAACAAACUCUAACUAACAUAAAAAACUAUAUUAGAGUAAUCAUUUUAUCCAACUCCAAAAAAAUGUAAACAGGAGACUAAAAAAGAAAAAUGAAGGAAUGAGAUUAUAAAAUAUGGGAGGAGGAAGUGUUACCAUUUGGAAGAGAGGAACAGAAAAACUCAAGCCGUAACCUUUGUUAGAAUUUCUAUAGCCAUUGCCUAGAAUAGAACGCUCAUCUUCUCUUGAAUACCUAGAGGAAACACCAAAUCUUGCCAAGAAUCGAAAGAGAGAGUGUGAGAGAUAGAGGGGAGAGAGUGUGAGAGAUAGAGGGGAUCGGCGGUGAGAGUUUUAGUUAUUCCGGCUUGGCAGCCUUGUAAAUUUUGAAAGACCUCCUUCGGCAUCUAUAGAUUGUAUGUCUCUAUCCUCCUUCUAUGUCCUACACAAGAAGAGAGUAGGUAAAGAGACUUCGCGAGCUCUUUAAUGGUAAUGACGAUAUUGGGAUUUUCCCCUAGAAACCCCUAAAGACUGGAGCAAAAAGAGCGAUAAAGAAGGAAGAUAGAGCAAUUAGGGUUAGGAUUUCGAAUGAAGAGAGGAGGGGGUUCAAAUCCCUCCAAGAAAGUGGGGAGAUGGAGAGAGAAGAGGGAAGAGGGGUGAAGAGAGCAAAGAGAGGGUUUUGAAGGAAAUAGGAUGGUGGUGGUGGUAGUCUUCGGGUAGAGGGAGAGAAAUAGGAGAGGGCUACCACCCCCUAUCUCUCCAAGCCAUGCUUGGCUGGUUAGGCGUCCGUCUCCCUCUACGCUGCUAACCAAAGAUAGAUUGUAGUCACCAAGGAAAAAAGAGGUUGCCGGUGCAUCUAGAGCUUAACAUAUGGCGUUUGAGGAGAGGGGGGAGCUAAACUCGUGGCUAAAUAAGGAUAUGUCGUUGUCACCAAG